rnacentral:misc_RNA from 1 species
GGAGAAUUAGAGCUGGUCACACUGGCUUGUCUGGAUCCAGAUUUCAGCUCGUCAACAAUUGCGCACUAAAUUUUCAGUAAAAACAAACAAGUUGGUCGUGCGGAGACAUCGAGAACACAGCACACGAGCAGCCAUGACAAUUCUGGGAAAACUGCGGGGACAGCCCACGGACCAGGAGAAGGUGCCCCUGCCCAUGAACCUCAACGACGAGGCGCUCAUGCACCAUGGCUCCCUAAUCGCACCCAAGGUCGCUUACAGCGACAAUGAAGCCGACGCGGAAUCCAUGGUCUUCAACCGGCCGCAGCACCAUUGCAUUAAGUCCUUUCUGCUGUUCCUGAUCGCCGUGGUCGUGAUGCUCCUGGGUGUCCUGGGCGGAUGGACCCUGUACCGAGUGUACGCUCCGUCGCACAGCAGCAUGCGCUACCACGCCCUGUGCGAGAUUCCCUAUCCGGAGGACUCGAUGGAGAUGGCGCGGGUCUACCCGCGCACCGUGGAACCGUUCGCCCUGAACUGGCGCUCCUUGCUGCCCGAGCUCGCACAACCGAUGCCCAACAGUGGAUCGCUGGACGAGAGCCACUUCCGCGAGGACAUCGAACUGGACGGCGACAGCGAUGACGAGGGCUACGCACGCGUGGACGUGCCCGACUUCAAGGAUGGACGUAGAGGUCGCUUCAUGCACGACUUCAAGGAGAACCAGUCGGCCAUUAUCGACACCACCACCGGACGGUGCUUCAUCAUGCCCUUGGAUCGGGACACGACCCUGCCCCCGACCAGCUUCGUGGAUCUCAUGAAGAAGAUGAGCACUGGCUACUACAACAUAGAUACGGAGCGCGUGCGGCGCCAGAUGCGCGUGGUCACGCCCCGCAUCACCGAUGUUUCGCUCAUCUCGGAGCGGAUUGCCAACGAGUGCUUCGAUAUGAAGGUGUACAUGAUGGAGAAGUUCGUCUCAGGCGUCUCUAAGAGAUCGGCCGAUCCGCUGCCGGAGUCAGCCAAGUACGCCGAGUUCAUGGGCAAGGGCGUCAUCGAGUACGACUUGGCCAACAUCGCCGAGGUGGAUGCCUACGAGGCCAACGAGGCUAGGCAACAGGCCUGAGCUUUGGAGAAGGAGGAUCUUUUAAGCUACAACACCCAUAUGAUAACACAACCUAAACAAAUUAUUACUUAGAAUCGAUUUAUACAUACACAGAGUCAUGCCUACAAGUCUAGAUCUGGUUACCACUGGUUAGCAGGACACACACCCACUCCGGGUGGAUAUAUCAUCAUUGGCCAAGCGAGUUUAGCAAAUUAUAGACCCUAGUAAGGAAGCAUAACGAAAAUGUACCUAGAACGCAAUCAAAAGCGAUCGACGAAAUUGUGACAAAUACGUGAAAUGUAUUAGCCUCGAGGGCGAAUUGAGAGGAUGUGGAGAGAUCGGAUCGGAUUACGGAUCGGUACACGCGCACAGACACUGCGGCAUUCCAACAAAAACAACCUGAGGGCGGACAACACGGCAUGCGUAAGAGAAACAAGUAAAUUAAUCUAAAUGUUCUUUAAACUACUUACAUGUAUUAAACGCGAAUUUGUGAUCUUUA